UACAGAGGGGCAAGCGUUGUUCGGAAUUACUGGGCGUAAAGGCGCGUAGGCGGCCUGCUAAGUCGAACGUGAAAUCCCUGGGCUCAACCCAGGAACUGCGUCCGAUACUGGUUGGCUUGAAUCCGGGAGAGGGAUGUGGAAUUCCAGGUGUAGCGGUGAAAUGCGUAGAUAUCUGGAGGAACACCGGUGGCGAAGGCGACAUCCUGGACCGGUAUUGACGCUGAGGCGCGAAAAGCCAG
rnacentral:rRNA from 1 species